AGCGGCCCUCGCACUGCUUGGCCCAAUUCAAGGAGGGUUUGUAGUUACAGGAACGCAGAGGAAGGGACUUUCCCAGGUCAUGUGUGGGGUUCAUGAGACUCCUCUUGCUCAUUCGGCCUCUCACCCUGUCACCUGAAAGAAAAGACUGCAUUUACAGCGUCAGCGGAUGCAUUCGGUUCCUGCCCAAGGAUGAAUGCACAGUUGCCCUGCAGGACUCCUGACUCAGUGGCAUUCCAUGUGCCCAGUGCCUUAGUGUUCUUGUCAGUGAAAUGGGCACAUAAAUAAAUCUAUGUAAAGACUCACUGGAAGAUUAAAGAUCUUUAAAAUUUUUGCUUAACAGCAAAAUUUCCCAAAUAAAUGUUGAUUGUAGGCUCAGAGA